rnacentral:rRNA from 1 species
UGGGGAAUAUUGGACAAUGGGCGCAAGCCUGAUCCAGCCAUGCCGCGUGGGUGAUGAAGGCCCUAGGGUUGUAAAGCCCUUUCGGCGGGGAAGCCGGUAGAGUAACUGCUACCGGAGUGACGGUACCUGAGAAGAAAGCCCCGGCUAACUAC